rnacentral:rRNA from 1 species
AUGGCGGACUGCUGCUUCCUCCCGGCGGGGGAUGACCUGUGCGCUCUUGAGGAUGAGCUCGCCCGCGCGGUUGUGGUCUCCAUCCGCGACCCUCGCCCUGGCGUCGCCGUCGACCUGGUCGCGGCCGCUCGGGCCCUGCACGCGGAGUUUGAAAUUGGCCCCCUUGACAUGUCAAUCCGGGCUUUCUCCCCCCAAGACUUCCUGGUUCUCUGUGCGCGCAAGUCCACGCGAGAUAGGAUGAUCACCAGGGGCAUGGCGCGCUCGCAACUCUUCGACCUUACCCUGCAGCCAUGGCUCCGACAUGACCAGGCUACUGCCAUUUCCAUGCCGUUUCUGGUGCCGCUGUCCCUGCGCGGUGUGCUAGCAAACGCAUGGACAAGGCGCACGGCGGAGACCCUCCUGCACGGUCUGGGCAUCGUCGUCAGGAUUGCGGAGAACACGGCGUCGCGGAACGACAUGGCGGGCUUCCGGGUUUGGCUGCGCACGGACGACCCAGCGCGGAUCCCCUCCCGGCGUAUUCUCGUCGUCGAGGAGCCUAAACGGCGCAGCAGGCAUGCGCUAUGUGCAGUGGAUCAGGCUGAUGCCCUGUGGUACCCCAUCUCCAUCUCCCAGGAAGAUGCGGCAGUUCGGCUCGACUCCCAGGGCGGCGUGCCGCCACCGCCACCACCGUCAAGGCAGCCGUGCGCCAGAUGCUCUCGUCCAUUCUACGGCCUCGUCGGCGGCGGCUUCGGCUCCCUCACCGCCGGCCAGGCACUGCGCGGCCCAAAGCAGGGGUGGGUCUCAGCCGCCGUCGUCAGCCACGAGGGGCCCUGCCGCCAGCUGCAUGGCAGCCUUGGUUGGCGCGGAUGA